rnacentral:rRNA from 1 species
ACAAUGACUCUCGGCAACGGAUAUCUCGGCUCUCGCAUCGAUGAAGAACGCAGCGAAAUGCGAUACCUGGUGUGAAUUGCAGAAUCCCGUGAAUCAUCGAGUUUUUGAACGCAAGUUGCGCCCGAGGCCUCUCGGUCAAGGGCACGCCUGCCUGGGCGUCACG